AUUGAACGCUGGCGGCAUGCCUUACACAUGCAAGUCGAACGGCAGCACGGGUGCUUGCACCUGGUGGCGAGUGGCGAACGGGUGAGUAAUACAUCGGAACAUGUCCUGUAGUGGGGGAUAGCCCGGCGAAAGCCGGAUUAAUACCGCAUACGAUCUACGGACGAAAGCGGGGGACCUUCGGGCCUCGCGCUAUAGGGUUGGCCGAUGGCUGAUUAGCUAGUUGGUGGGGUAAAGGCCUACCAAGGCGACGAUCAGUAGCUGGUCUGAGAGGACGACCAGCCACACUGGGACUGAGACACGGCCCAGACUCCUACGGGAGGCAGCAGUGGGGAAUGUGGGACAAUGGGCGAAAGCCUGAUCCAGCAAUGCCGCGUGUGUGAAGAAGGCCUUCGGGUUGUAAAGCACUUUUGUCCGGAAAGAAAUCCUUGGCCCUAAUACGGUCGGGGGAUGACGGUACCGGAAGAAUAAGCACCGGCUAACUACGUG
rnacentral:rRNA from 1 species